GAGCGGUAAGGCCCUUUCGGGGGUACACGAGCGGCGAACGGGUGAGUAACACGUGGGUGACCUGCCCUCCACUCUGGGAUAAGCCCGGGAAACUGGGUCUAAUACCGGAUAGGACCACUGAUCGCAUGGUUGGUGGUGGAAAGUUUUUUCGGUGGGGGAUGGGCCCGCGGCCUAUCAGCUUGUUGGUGGGGUGAUGGCCUACCAAGGCGGUGACGGGUAGCCGGCCUGAGAGGGCGACCGGCCACACUGGGACUGAGACACGGCCCAGACUCCUACGGGAGGCAGCAGUGGGGAAUAUUGCGCAAUGGGCGGAAGCCUGACGCAGCGACGCCGCGUGGGGGAUGACGGCCUUCGGGUUGUAAACCUCUUUCGCCAGGGACGAAGAGCAAUUGACGGUACCUGGAGAAGAAGCACCGGCCAACUACGUGCCAGCAGCCGCGGUAACACGUAGGGUGCGAGCGUUGUCCGGAAUUAUUGGGCGUAAAGAGCUCGUAGGCGGUGUGUCGCGUCGGCCGUGAAAACUUGGGGCUUAACUCUGAGCGUGCGGUCGAUACGGGCAUCACUUGAGUUCGGCAGGGGAGACUGGAAUUCCUGGUGUAGCGGUGAAAUGCGCAGAUAUCAGGAGGAACACCGGUGGCGAAGGCGGGUCUCUGGGCCGAUACUGACGCUGAGGAGCGAAAGCGUGGGGAGCGAACAGGAUUAG
rnacentral:rRNA from 1 species